rnacentral:rRNA from 1 species
AACGAACGCUGGCGGCGCGCCUAAUACAUGCAAGUCGAGCGAGAAGACGUAGCAAUACGUUUGUAAAGCGGCGAACGGGUGAGGAAUACAUGGGUAACCUACCCUCGAGUGGGGAAUAACUAGCCGAAAGGUUAGCUAAUACCGCGUACGCUCCUUGGACUUCGGUUCAUGGAGGAAAGCGAUACCGUGGGUAUCGCGCUCUUGGAUGGGCUCAUGUCCUAUCAGCUUGNGGUGAGGUAACGGCUCACCAAGGCUUCAACGGGUAGCUGGUCUGAGAGGACGAUCAGCCACACUGGCACUGCGACACGGGCCAGACUCCUACGGGAGGCAGCAGUAAGGAAUAUUGCGCAAUGGGCGAAAAGCCUGACGCAGCGACGCCGCGUGGGGGAGUGAAGGU